GGGAGAGUUCCUUCUUCUCAGUGCUCCUGUAAAAGCAGUAGGGGAAACUGGGAGAAAUUACUUAUAGCUUCUCUGGCCUAACCCUCAAACCCUUUCCUUCCCUUCCCAUCACCAAUUAGACAGAAAAGAACCUGAAUUACUUUUUCCUCCUCUUGUCUGAACCUAACUUAUAUAAAAUUUUGGACCAGACCUCAUAUCCAAACUUUGAUAAAAAGGAAGCUAUCAGGGAUCCAAACAAUCCUUUCUAAACACAGAGCCUGACUCACUGGAUUUGUUGGAAAUUUUGUUUUAAAUGUCAUUGAAUAGGAGUUUCCUUUCUGGUAAUGGCAAAAUAGCUUGUAACAGACUAAAUCUUUUACAGAGAAAAAACAGACAGUCUGAAUUAAAUGAAAACAAAGAUAUAAAAGAUUUUGAAGACUAAAUAGAAUUACAAAGAUGGCUGAGACUGGAAGAACCAAAGUCAUGGACAGAGGAAAGUCUUAUUGAGCUAACUUUAAUUUCAACAUUUCAAGAUCCUGGAACUGAUAAACAAAAGGUCAAGCCUAGGACACACUUCUCGAAGUCCCUACAUGCUAUUGUUCUAUUUAACAUUGCAUAAAAACACACCUGAAUGAGCUAUAGGAAUCAAGCUUUAGCUCCCUUUGCAAGAUGACAAUCUCUGGCCUUGAGAAGACUUAUGAUUUUCUCCUUAUAUGGCUCGAGACAAAAGCAUAACACAGGGACAGCUUGGAAACCUGAAGAUGAAAGCUAACUGUGUGAAUGAAGUGUUGCUGCCUUAGACAAGAUAAUCUGCCCAUCAAAGCAAAAAAGCAUAAUUCUGUAUGCCUGGGAUGUCUCCAUAUCCAAGGAAAGAAAAGGAUCUGAAAGAAAUUGUUGACAUUCUGACUACUUAAAGUAGAUGCCUUGUUAAAUGAGAUUUCUGCUGAGACCAGGAUGCUCUGUAUGUGCCUAUCAGUUCAAAAAUAUAAUGAAAGGAAAGUGCUCUGUGUUUCCUGUUGACUUUCAUACCCAAAGAUCAAUUUAAUGGAAAAUAAAAAGCUUCCAUUCAUGGGAUACGUCUUUGUAUUAAAAAGGAUUAAAUAAAGAAAGUUUGGAACUUUAGGAGCUAUUAGCAUUAUUAUGUGUG
rnacentral:lncRNA from 10 species